rnacentral:rRNA from 1 species
AGCGGCGGACGGGUGAGUAACGCGUGGGUAACCUGCCCUGUACACACGGAUAACAUACCGAAAGGUAUGCUAAUACGAGAUAAUAUGCUUUUAUCGCAUGGUAGAAGUAUCAAAGCUUUUGCGGUACAGGAUGGACCCGCGUCUGAUUAGCUAGUUGGUAAGGUAACGGCUUACCAAGGCGACGAUCAGUAGCCGACCUGAGAGGGUGAUCGGCCACAUUGGAACUGAGACACGGUCCAAACUCCUACGGGAGGCAGCAGUGGGGAAUAUUGCACAAUGGGCGAAAGCCUGAUGCAGCAACGCCGCGUGAGCGAUGAAGGCCUUCGGGUCGUAAAGCUCUGUCCUCAAGGAAGAUAAUGACGGUACUUGAGGAGGAAGCCCCGGCUAACUACGUGCCAGCAGCCGCGGUAAUACGUAGGGGGCUAGCGUUAUCCGGAAUUACUGGGCGUAAAGGGUGCGUAGGUGGUUUCUUAAGUCAGAGGUGAAAGGCUACGGCUCAACCGUAGUAAGCCUUUGAAACUGGGAAACUUGAGUGCAGGAGAGGAGAGUGGAAUUCCUAGUGUAGCGGUGAAAUGCGUAGAUAUUAGGAGGAACACCAGUUGCGAAGGCGGCUCUCUGGACUGUAACUGACACUGAGGCACGAAAGCGUGGGGAGCAAACAGGAUUAGAUACCCUGGUAGUCCACGCCGUAAACGAUGAGUACUAGCUGU